GCCGGAGUGGCGGAACUGGUAGACGCAGGGGACUUAAAAUCCCCUGGCCGCAAGGCCGUGCAGGUUCGAUCCCUGCCUCCGGCACCA
rnacentral:tRNA from 1 species